AUAUAAAAUUUAAAAUAAAUUAACGAACUAAUUAAUUAUCGGUGCAGAAGCAGAACUAAUUUUUAUAAUUAAAAAUUUUUCAACUGGCGACGUUGUUGUCUGCUAUAGCUUGUACGGAAUAGCGAAAACUUAUUGAGCAAAGAAAGACUUGAACAAAUGGCGGAUUUGAUCUCGUUAAUGCCAUCUAAAAAUUGAUUUUUUCACAAUAUUUCGCACAGAAAAGGUUCUUAGAAUGACUAAAACAGCCAUUUCAUGGAAGUAUAUAUUAGCAGAAUUGUUUGUGGAAGACAGAACAGAACUUGCAAUAGUCUCAGAACGGUGGACCAUGUACUUUCGGGUCUUUUCACUACUUUUUUACUCUAAUUUCUUGCAGUUGUGUUAUUUGUUUUAUUUCAUACGCACAUCCCCAGCAUAUUUGGAUCGAUUAUUACCAUCUAACGAGUUGAUAAGUGAUGGAUGGCAUGGACGAUUUCUUCGCCAAUUUAGGUGAAUUUACUGAUUUAACUGAUUACGAAUCGUUUGAAGGUGAAGAAACUGAGUUGCGCCAGGAAAAAUGAAGGAGACGCACAAACCGUUUCGUAACCUUUUAUACUACACGGAAGGAUGUUUUAAUAUACUUCGAGGAAGAUAAACUACUCAAAACUUUUCGCUUUGACCGAAAUUCCAUUGAAUUCAUUACUGGUAACUGAUAUCACAGACUACGAAGUAAGGACGAAAUCCCCUAUACCCUUCGCUAGGCGAUGCUUGAGUUUGCCGCUAGGACGCAGGUCAUAUGCAAUGGAGAAUUUUUAUGCUUUUUCCCCAUUUCAGUACCGAUUACGUGCUUCACACACACGGGAUUUGCGGGUUUUCUACCGGGUGCCGUAUUCUAAAUUUUAUUUCAUAAUAAUGUAAGACCUUUGCCGAUAGCCCAUGAAUUAUUUUAUAAUAUUCGAAGUAAAUCAGCGGCUAGUUAUAAUAAUGUUAUAUUUAACCCCAUUUCCUCUCGAUUUCAUGGCUCUUAGAAGCUAUCGUGCAACACUGCAUGGAUCUUUAAGACGUGAAAGUGAAAGACGCACCGAAUUGUUUGUUUGUUUGGCUGACAUUACAUUGUGUUUUCUGGUUUGGCUUCUCACUUUACGUUUUUCCGUGCUUGUCUACAGUGUUUGUGUUUAUUUUACAGUGGAAUAGAAAGGAUAUGCCAGUAUACUGUUUUGUAAUUGGAUGCAGAAAUGGGCCAAAUGGAUCAAGAAAAAAUAUGGAGCAGCAUGCAGGUGUGGGUGGUGGUGCUAAAAUCACUGAAAAGAGAGCAAGGUUUUUUCGAACACCAAAAGAUGAAGUGCUACUAAAGCUGUGGGCCAAGAAAAUACCAACGAAGCCACAUGCAUUAUCCAGGGUUUGUGACUUUAAGAUUUCGAUGCUUUGGCAAGAAAUGUUUGUUGAUAUUGUCGAAAAGAAACGCGGCGAAGCACACGCAAGGAUGAAGAUGAAAAAAUAAAGAAAAUUUGCUAGAAAAUGAAUUACAGUUUCUUUAUACGGUAACCAUGUGAUAUUUACCAUACUGCAAUCAUGUGAUUGAUAUUGUGAUGUGUGAUGUGAUGAUAUUGUGAUAGAAUUCCAAUUGAAUUCAAACAAAAUACAAACAAAAUACAGAUAUUUUAACCAGA